rnacentral:misc_RNA from 1 species
GAUGAAGAACGUAGCGAAAUGCGAUACGUAAUGUGAAUUGCAGAAUUCAGUGAAUCAUCGAAUCUUUGAACGCACAUUGCGCCCGCUAGUAUUCUGGCGGGCAUGCCUGUUCGAGCGUCAUUUCAACCAUCAAGCCCCAGGCUUGUGUUGGGGGCCUGCGGCUGCCGCAGCCCCUGAAAAGCAGUGGCGGGCUCGCUGUCAUUCCGAGCGCAGUAGUUACAUCUCGCUCCGGGCGUGGCGGUGGGCACCUGCCGUGAAACACUCCUUCUAAGGUUGACCUCGGAUCAGGUAGGAAUACCCGCUGAACUUAAGCAUAUCAUAAGCGGAGGA